rnacentral:rRNA from 1 species
UACGUAGGGUGCGAGCGUUGUCCGGAAUUAUUGGGCGUAAAGAGCUCGUAGGCGGCUUGUCGCGUCGACUGUGAAAACCCGCGGCUCAACUGCGGGCCUGCAGCCGAUACGGGCAGGCUAGAGUUCGGUAGGGGAGACUGGAAUUCCUGGUGUAGCGGUGAAAUGCGCAGAGUAUCAGGAGGAACACCGGUGGCGAAGGCGGGGUCUCUGGGCAGGUAACUG